rnacentral:lncRNA from 1 species
UGAAACUAUAACUCGUAAGCUUGGUUAUAAACCCAUGAUAACAAGUGUAAGACAACAAAAUAAAAAAGUUGUAUGAAUAAUCAAUUUGCUUUUCUUGUUUAAUCACAAAAUAAGCUAUGUGAUGAUAUUUUAGAAUCUAUAUAAAUUGAGUGUGUAAGGUUGAUUUCACCCUGCUGCAGAUUGCUCAAUCUUUCCUGUAAACUAGUGUUGGGUACUCUGGAUUCCACAUGUUAUUAAUCACGUAUUCCUUAAUUUCAUCCUGCAACUCCACAAAAGAACAUGGAUAAGUAUAUCAAUAUUUGAAUUUAAUGUUAAAUAAGAAUCAUUUCUUCCUGAUAAUUCAUAUUGGCAUGCAAAACUUAACAAUGUAAGCCAAAAAAACUAAGCAGUUAAAACCCCAAUUUCUGAAAAGCCUAUGGAAAGCUCACAAACUUUGAACCAUGGACGGUAAGUCCUACAGAAAACAAAACACCAUACGAAUCAAGCAGAAUAAAACCUUCAUAACUUCCCACUUUUCAAAAUUGUCUACCAAGGAACCUUUUGAUGAAUACAGGAACAAAUUCCCACCCAUUCUAACCAUGUUUGCAUCUUAAACAUAUUUUAUUUGGGCAAAGGGAGAAAUGGUUAAAAAAAUCCUCCAAUGCAACAACACUACGUGAAGCCAAUGUUAAUUUGAACCGGAUCCUUGAUCAUGUUUAACAAUCAUACAUUGAUCAUCGAUUUGUGUUCUGCGAAUAUUUUAAUACCACGGCAUGAGGAACAAUUUGCUAAGAAUGGAAAAUGCACAACCUUUAAACAGUUUUGUAGUAGUUUUUGGUUUGAAUUUGGAAGCAACUUUGAGCACAGCUAAGUGAACCCAUUUAAGAGGGUAAAUCUCUCACAGUAGCUAUAUUUUCCAUUUGUAAGACUUGAACCUAAUACUAUGAAAACCAAUUUCCUUACCAUUUGAACUAACAAGAAGUGUAAUAUAAUAUAAUGGGUCUAUUAACUUGGUAAAAAGGAUCUGCAACUUUUUUCUUUCAGCAAUAGAGACAGUAAUUUAUAUUUAUAUCAUUUUCAAAAAGGAGUUUAUAAUUUAAAAAGAUGAAUUUUUAUAUUAUUGUUUUUUGUAAGUAAAGUAAAGUAUGAUCAUGGAGACAUAUUUAUGCAUAAGACUUAUUAAAACUUCACAUUGGCCUGGUAUGUGGAUAACGUCAUAAAAACUUGGGAAAUCCUCUCAUAAAUCUAAAGAGAAUAGCUGGAGUAAAAUCAAUCUCCCGCGCAGUAGACAAGCCUAGUCUAACAGAUGGUAGUGGUACCAACUAAUUCCACAUGGACCUUACGAGUGUAUUUGCAGGCAAAAUUAAUUCGAACCACAUUAUAGUAGAGAUUACAUUGGUACGUAGUCCAGAAGUUACAAACAUAAUCUCUAAUAUUUUGAAACAAACAAAACUUACCCGACUAAGUUUGCGAAGCUCUCGAGCAUCCAUUUCAUGAUAUCCUUCUGCUAGAUCCUCCUCCACAUCAUGUAUAUUGAAUUCAAAUUGAGGAUGCAACAACACUCAGCUCUGUCCCAUAAAACCUCUCUGCAACUCUCUCAGCAACAUCAACCCUCCCAUGAGUUUUACAAGCUCCAAACAAAGCACCCACCAAAGCUUCAUCAGGCCUAACAUCCAUUUUCAAUGUCAACUUCUCUGCUUCUUCCACUAAACCAACCCUCCCCAACAUAUCCACCAUACAUGUAUAAUGCCUCACAUCAGGUUUCACCCCAAACCUCACCUUCAUCAUCUCAAAAAUCUCCCUCCCUUUCUCGACAAACCCGCCAUGACUACACGCAGUCAAAACAACCGUAAAACUCACAUUAUCCAUCCUCUCUCCUACUUCCACCAUUCUAUUAAACAUCUCAAAAACCUCUUCAAACCUACCAUGCAUUCCAUAACCUGCUAUCAUCGUCGACCAAGUAACCUCAUUCCUUUCGCACAUUCCAUCAAACACUUUGCGCGCAAAUUCUAACUCCCCGCAUUUAGCAUACAUGUUUAUCAAAGCAUUAGAAUUUUUCAAAUCUAACGCAAACCCAUUUACCAAAACAGCUCCAUGAACUUGUUUCCCAAGCCUUAACGCCGAUAAACCAGCGCAAGAUUUUAGCACAAGCGGCAAAGUAUGGCAAUCAAAGGGUUUAUAAGACAACCUCAUUUCACGAAAUAGCGAAAGCGUUUCUUUAAAUAGGUUGAGAGAUAAAUAGGCUCUAAUGAGAGAGUUGUUGAGGAAAGUGGGUUUGCGAUUUGUGAAUGAAAAAAGAAUAUUUGCUUGGUGCAAUUUGGAACAUGAAGCAUAGCAAGAAACAAGUUUGGUUCGAAUGAAAUCAUCGUGUGAAAUACCUAAACGAAUUGUGCGUGCAUGGAUUAUUUUGAGGCUGUUUAUGUUUUUCGAGGAAAAACAUUUGUUGAGAAGUGUUGCGUAUAAUGGUUUGAGUUCAUGAGGUUUGGCCAUGACGUUAAUAAACCAAACACCUAAUAGGUUGAAACAAAGAAAUUUAUGUUAUGAGAGUUGUUCAAAUUUUUUAAGGAUUCUAUAUUCUAUUUUGAUUGAUCAUUGUAUUUGACAGUGGCUUUUGAAAUGCUGCAAAAACACUUUGCAAACGAAACAAGUUUGGGUGUUGUGGCCGGGUUGUAUCUAUUAAGAGGGAUAAUUCGGUAGGAAAAAAGUUUUUUUUUUAUAGAUGCAAACAUAAAUAGUUUAUUUUUUUUAUUUUUUUUAAAUUUCAACAAAAAAAUCUAUAGAUAUUGUUUUAACAUAAAUUGUUUUUUUUUUAAGUUCAAACAAACUCACUCUAAAUCGAGCGUAGGCUAGCAUGCGUUAAACCUAUAUUAAAAAAGAUUUAGUUUGCAAGCGACAAAAUUGUAAAAAUAGGGUUCUGAAAUCCACCAGAAAUUAAGAAAAAACUCUCUAAAAUAUUAUUGAUUGAAUAAAAGUUAUGCCGCUUAGGCUACAUCUGUUUAAGCUUAAAUAGGAAAAUAAUAGUCCUCCUCGUGAGCUUAACUCAGUUGGUAUGGACAAUGGAUAGUAUAUGCAAGGUAUAGGGUUUAAACCCCGACUACCAAAAAAAAAAAGGAAAAUAACAAACUCUGAUGGGCCUAAAAAUAACAAACUGAAAAUAAAACAAACAAAUAAUAAAUAUAAACUUAAACAAUAAAAUACUAAUAAAUUACUAAGGAAACCUUCCUACGUGAGUCUCCUCCAUCUAUGAAGAACUCGACUCCGAGUUCUUGUUCUCCACAACCACAAGUAUGUUCUUUGGUUUAAUAUCUCAGUGCACUAUUGGUAGAUAACUUAACAAGACCUUUCAAUUUGUUGUUGAAUAUUUGGUUUGCUGAAUUGAUUUCUUGCACACAUGUUAUGCCAUUUGCUUUUCUACUAGGAUUACUCUACACUCGGCCCUUGGCAAAGUUCUCAACCUCAUCUAUUGAUGAUGAUAAACUUGAGCUGUUGAUUGAGUUUGAAACAUUCGUUGGCUUGGGAGAAGGCCUCGAUAAUGGGGAGGUGUUGAGCUGCCACUUGUAUGUUUAGAACCAUUCUUAGUGAUUUGCUCUAAUGAGUCCAGGAAUGAUUUUGAAGAUGUUGUGCUUUCAAAUACUAAAAACGGCCAUUAUGAGAUAUGGCAGUUGGUUUCCGAGGAUUAUUCUUCUCAAUGGUUGCUUUCCCAUUAUUGGAUAUGCUGCUUCCACCAAACCCAAUCAUGAAGUCAUCAAAAUCAUGCUAUUUUUUUUUUAAUGGAACUUUUAGCGCUUGGUGCAUGCAAUCCACCGAUCUUAUCUAAUAAAUCAUCAAGACCGACAGUUUUUUCACUAACUCCAUCGAAUAUAUCAUCUACAUAAACCUGCGACAACGAAGAUCCGAAAAUCAGAUUAUUGUCAAGUGAAAAGCUCGAUUUGAAUGUCAAAGUCUCCUUUUGCAACACCGACUCAAUAUUUCGAUUGUUUCCACUACGUGAAACCCUAAUUUGUUCACAUAUCAUGUUUUGAUUUUUGUUAUUGUUGAUGUUGACAAUAUUAGCCGUCAACACCAUCGUUCGAGUCGUGGUUGUUGAGGAUAACGCCGCCAUCAAAUCCGCCACAGCUUUGAUGGUCGCAGCUAAUCCGUCAAUAUAUGCCCUCCUAACCGGUUGAUCUCCCAAAAGAACAUGAGAAACAUGCUCUGAUACCAACUGACGCAGUACGGAAGCGUAGGCUAGCAAGCGCUAAACCUCGAUUGAAAAGAACAAGUUUGCAAGCGACAAACUUGUGAAAAUAAGGUUUUGGAAUCCACCAAAAAAUGAGAAAAAACUCUAAAGUAUUAUUGAUUGAAUAAAAGUUAUGCCUCUUAGACUAUAUCUGUUAAGCUUAAAUAGAAUUACCCACCCCGAACCCAUACUCAAACCCUACCCGAAUGUAGAAAGGUCAUAUUUUUGUUUUUGUUAAGGAGGUUGAUAAUGAUAUGUCAUGUUAUUUGGUUUGAUAAUUGCAUGUUAUUUGGUUUGAUAAUUGUCAUGAUAUAAGAACUUUCACGGAUAGUUAAAGGAGCAACCGAAUUAUUCGGUAACAAAAUUUUAAAAUGAGCGCAAAUUGUUGGAUAAUGCAUUACAACAUUACCAUUGAAGCUUAAAAAAAACUCUUUUUUUAUUAAAAAAAAUUGAUUCGGGGACGGGGAUGUGGUGGGAAUACCCGAACGGGAUGGGGAUGAGAUUCAAUUUCUCAUCCCCGUUGGAUAUGGGUAGGGUAACGGAUAAGUAUAUGGAAGUAUGGGAUGGGGAUGGGGAAGACGAAACACGUCUCCAUCCCGCCCCAUUGCCAUGCCUAAUGAGGUAUAGCAAAUUUUGGAAAAGUUUCUUACUCAAUCAAAUUAUUUAUUUAUUUUUAUUUAUUUAUGGUGAAAAACAUACAAUUUACCUACACUAUCUCACUAUCUGCAUGGUUAACUUACACUCUUCUCGGGUUAGCACAAACUACUUUUUGUUCCCAAGCUUAAAAUCAAAUCUAAGGUACUGUUUCGCCGGGGUUUUUUUCGGUCCAAAAGCUACUUUAAAAUAAAGUUAAAAUAAAGCUCAAUAAGAAAAAGGUAAAAGUUGUUUGAUUUCUUUAUUUUAUUUUUUUUAGUUCUAAAAUUAUUUUGAAGUUAAAAGCUGUUUGGCAAAAUAUUGUACAAAACUUUAAAUUUAUUAUUUUUUUGGUGGUGUUGGUUCGAACCCGGGACCUUGCAUAUACUUAUGCAUUAUCUAUAAAUAAAAAAAUUUGAAUUCAUUAUGAAUUAACAUAAUAAAUAAAAAAAAUGUCUAAAAUAUUUUUUGAAGGGAAAAAAUGUUUAAAAUAUAAAAGAUAUAUCUUUAUAAAUACUAUAUUUAUUCAAUGACGUUUAUUUUGUGUAACAUGAAUACAAAUUUGUAUCAUCAUACAAAGGACUUGUUAAAUAUUUGAAUAGGAGAAAUAAUUUAAGGAGGCUCAAAUAAUAACAUAAAUAAUAUCAAAGUAAUAUCAAAGUAGUUUGGAAAAUUAAAAACAAUAAUCAUCUUUUUUUUUUUUAAAAAAAGACAUAAACCAUCACAAAUUCAAACAUUUCUACUCUCCAUCAACGCAACUCCUAUUUGAUUUCUAACUUUUUUCAUGUAGCCUCCAUCUUGUACUCUUCCUGGAUUAUAUGAACUGAUUUCUUCAUUUAUAUUGCUUUAUUCGUCACGUUCAAUCAUAUAUUCAGAGAUAACAUUUAUAAUAUGUAUAUGUGUGUGUGUGUAAGGAGAAUAAUUUAUUUUUCUUUUCCAAUUAUACUCUAUAACAAAUUUUGUUAUAAAAAUACCAUAAUUUUAGUGUCAGUCAAAAAGAUAAAAAUUUAUAUUAUAUAAUAUUAUUUUUGUUACAUUGUUGGUGUCAUUGGAAAAUUUAUGUUUAAUUUUUUUAAUAAGAAAAAGAUAUACAUAAUUUGUUACAAUACAAAUGUGUAAAAUAUAUAUAAGUAUAACUUUUUUAGGCAACUACACUUGUACUUUUAAUUAAAAUCAAAAUUUUAUAAAAAUAUUAUACACAUUACGCAACACUAAAAAAAAUUAUACGCAUUAGCGUAACGAAAAAACAGACAGACGAACAUAAAGUAUUACUCGAAACGCUAAUGUGUAAUGUUGUCACGAGAAGGGUGAAUUAUUGGUCAUCAGUGUAAUGUUGACACUUACUAAAAAUGAAUUUACAAAUACACCAUUUAAAAAUUGGUGUAACUGCACAAUAGUAUAUGGUGCUACAACCUCACAAAAACUAUAUGUUACUAAUUUACAUGAAACUAUAACUCGUAAGCUUGGUUAUAAACCCAUGAUAACAAGUGUAAGACAACAAAAUAAAAAAGUUGUAUGAAUAAUCAAUUUGCUUUUCUUGUUUAAUCACAAAAUAAGCUAUGUGAUGAUAUUUUAGAAUCUAUAUAAAUUGAGUGUGUAAGGUUGAUUUCACCCUGCUGCAGAUUGCUCAAUCUUUCCUGUAAACUAGUGUUGGGUACUCUGGAUUCCACAUGUUAUUAAUCACGUAUUCCUUAAUUUCAUCCUGCAACUCCACAAAAGAACAUGGAUAAGUAUAUCAAUAUUUGAAUUUAAUGUUAAAUAAGAAUCAUUUCUUCCUGAUAAUUCAUAUUGGCAUGCAAAACUUAACAAUGUAAGCCAAAAAAACUAAGCAGUUAAAACCCCAAUUUCUGAAAAGCCUAUGGAAAGCUCACAAACUUUGAACCAUGGACAGUAAGUCCUACAGAAAACAAAACACCAUACGAAUCAAGCAGAAUAAAACCUUCAUAACUUCCCACUUUUCAAAAUUGUCUACCAAGGAACCUUUUGAUGAAUACAGGAACAAAUUCCCACCCAUUCUAACCAUGUUUGCAUCUUAAACAUAUCUUCUUUGGGCAAAGGGAGAAAUGGUUAAAAAAAUCCUCCAAUGCAACAACACUACGUGAAGCCAAUGUUAAUUUGAACCGGAUCCUUGAUCAUGUUUAACAAUCAUACAUUGAUCAUCGAUUUGUGUUCUGCGAAUAUUUUAAUACCACGGCAUGAGGAACAAUUUGCUAAGAAUGGAAAAUGCACAACCUUUAAACAGUUUUGUAGUAGUUUUUGGUUUGAAUUUGGAAGCAACUUUGAGCACAGCUAAGUGAACCCAUUUAAGAGGGUAAAUCUCUCACAGUAGCUAUAUUUUCCAUUUGUAAGACUUGAACCUAAUACUAUGAAAACCAAUUUCCUUACCAUUUGAACUAACAAGAAGUGUAAUAUAAUAUAAUGGGUCUAUUAACUUGGUAAAAAGGAUCUGCAACUUUUUUCUUUCAGCAAUAGAGACAGUAAUUUAUAUUUAUAUCAUUUUCAAAAAGGAGUUUAUAAUUUAAAAAGAUGAAUUUUUAUAUUAUUGUUUUUUGUAAGUAAAGUAAAGUAUGAUCAUGGAGACAUAUUUAUGCAUAAGACUUAUUAAAACUUCACAUUGGCCUGGUAUGUGGAUAACGUCAUAAAAACUUGGGAAAUCCUCUCAUAAAUCUAAAGAGAAUAGCUGGAGUAAAAUCAAUCUCCCGCGCAGUAGACAAGCCUAGUCUAACAGAUGGUAGUGGUACCAACUAAUUCCACAUGGACCUUACGAGUGUAUUUGCAGGCAAAAUUAAUUCGAACCACAUUAUAGUAGAGAUUACAUUGGUACGUAGUCCAGAAGUUACAAACAUAAU